CAGAAACAGAGAGCUAGCACAAGGUCACAAGAAGAAGAAGGAAGAUAUAUAGAUAAAAGAGAAACACAGAAUACUACAAAAUUCUUUCUUGGACAUGGCAGAGGAGUUUCAGACCGGGAUUUGCGGCGGGAACUGGUGGAGCUUGUCGAAAAGCGUGUUCAUGGGUGGUGGUUCAUCACCAUGCUCUACGGAUAUUAACGCAACUGACAUGGGGAAUUAUGGGCCGUGGAUGGUGACGGAUGUGGGGGACUUGAAGCCAAGAUCAUGCAAGCUCGAUAAUUCUAAUAAUAUUACUACCACUGAUUCACUCUCAGAUUCCUCAGUUCUUGUGCAAGAUUCGUUAAAGACUCAGCAGACUGAUUCUGAUAGAGCUGGUAGUAGUGUUUUGAUGGAUUCUACCUUGCAAAUGAUGGGUUUUGGGAUUUCAUCUUCUUCUUCCUCAUCAUCUUCCUUAGAUUGGAGCCAAACUUUACUGUAAGUUUUCUUACGAAUCAAGAUUCAAGAUUAAGCGCCCUGAUUUAGAUAUAAAGUUUUGUGUGUUUGUUUCCUUCUUUAAACAAAAAAAAAAAAAGAAAAAUAUUUUCUUGUUCUAAUUAUGGUUGAAUUCAAGCACUUGAAGACCUUAAAAGUCGGCCAAAGCUUCAACUACAAGUUAGAAGAAGAUAUAGCAAAUGACUUGGCUUACAAUCUUUGAUUGGAGAAGGAAGUGAAUAUCAUCAUUAUAAUUUAGUUUUUUCUUUUAAGUUUUAAUUAUCAAGUGGGAAAAAAUUUUGUAUCAAUCAGAUACCCUUUUCUUUUCUUUUUGCAGUCGAAGAAAUGGAAGAGCUGAGAGUUAUAAUUCCAUACUGCAAGAAGACAUGAACUCUUCUCAAGUCCAAAAAGAUUGGAGUAGUCCAAAGAGAAGUACUGGGGAAGAUUCUUCCAAUAACGGUUUUAAAGUAAUAAAUCAAGAUUUCUCUUUAGAGCAACCAAGGCUAAAUAAUCCUUUAAACACCUCCGGAAAUUCCACGGCAACAACUUGCCAAGGCUUAUCCACAGGAUUUUCAAUUGGGUCACCAUCUUAUGGCUACCCUUCAACAUUGAUACCAAGUUUAUUUGAUCCUGAUCCUCAGCCACAACAAACUCUUUUCAACAACCGCACCAUAAACUAUUCUUCCCCUCCAAAUUAUGGGACCAUCUUGAAUGAACUCUCCCCUUCUUGGCCUAAAUUUGCUCCCUUUCUAAAAACCUCAUUGCCAAAGCAGCAGCAGCAGCCUGCAGGUGGCUUGCACUUCUCUAACAAUACUCCCUUUUGGAAUGCCUCGGCAACUGGGCUAAAUGAUAUUAGACACAGUUUUGUACCCUCUUCUCAACCUCAGUUUCUUAUUCCAAUUUUUGAAGAGAAACCCAACUGUCCCAACCUCACUACAAAGACUAACAAUGGAGAAGUUCGAGACUCAGGAUCAGUUGUUAAGAAAGGAAGUGAACCAGCAUUCAAAAGGCCUCGAAUUGAAACGCCAUCGCCAUUACCAACUUUUAAGGUCCGGAAAGAGAAGCUAGGGGACCGAAUAACUGCCCUUCAGCAAUUGGUUUCACCUUUUGGAAAGACUGAUACAGCAUCUGUUCUCCAUGAAGCUAUCGAGUACAUCAAGUUCCUCCAUGAUCAAGUCAGUGUUUUGAGUACUCCAUAUAUGAAAAAUGGCAAUCCCUUUCAACAUCAACAGGGUGGUGAAAAAUUGAAGAACGCAGAAGGGUCAUCAAAACUAGAUCUAAAAAGUCGAGGGCUGUGUCUUGUGCCAAUCUCAAGCACAUUUCCUGUCGCUAAUGAGACUACAGCAGAUUUCUGGACGCCAACGUUUGGAGGUACUUUCAAGUAGAGAGGAUAAAAAAACUAUGAGUUUGAAACCCGAUUGGGGAAGUACUAAUGAUUCCUGCAUAUCCAGUGUAGCAUCAUUAUUCAAAGCAAGAUGGGAUUUAUAACUUGAACACAAAAGGAGAGAAGAUCAUUAGGAGCUGAAUUGCUGUGCUAUAGGCUGCUAGCUGUAACAGUCCUAGGAGAAAAGCCAAAGAAAACAAAAAAGAAAAAGAAGAUAGUUAAAGAAAAGGAAGUGACCCUUCAAAGAUGGAAACAGGCAAUGCUGGGCCAGCUGCAAGCAAAAUGAUUUAGAGCUAGCAAUUGAUCGGGGAGUCG
rnacentral:misc_RNA from 1 species